GACGAACGCUGGCGGCGUGCCUAAUACAUGCAAGUAGAACGCUGAAGGAGGAGCUUGCUUCUCUGGAUGAGUUGCGAACGGGUGAGUAACGCGUAGGUAACCUGCCUGGUAGCGGGGGAUAACUAUUGGAAACGAUAGCUAAUACCGCAUAAUAGCAGUUGUUGCAUGAUAACUGUUUGAAAGGUGCAAUUGCACCACUACCAGAUGGACCUGCGUUGUAUUAGCUAGUUGGUGGGGUAACGGCGCACCAAGGCGACGAUACAUAGCCGACCUGGGAGGGUGGUCGGCCACACUGGGACUGGGAAACGGCCCCGGCUCCUUCGGGAGGCAGCAGUAGGGAAUCUUCGGACAUGGGCGGAAGUCUGACCGAGCCACGCCGCGUGAGUGAAGGAGGUUUUCGGAUCGUAAAGCUCUGUUGUAAGGGAAGAACGAGUGUUAGAGUGGAAAGUUCACACUGUGACGGUAUCUUACCAGAAAGGGACGGCUAACUACGUG
rnacentral:rRNA from 1 species